AUUGAACGCUGGCGGUAUGCUUAACACAUGCAAGUCGAACGGUAACAGGCCUAGCUUGCUAGGUGCUGACGAGUGGCGGACGGGUGAGUAACGCGUAGGAAUCUGCCUUAUUGUGGGGGAUAACCUGGGGAAACUCAGGCUAAUACCGCAUGAGCCCUUAGGGGGAAAGGAUGGGACCGAAAGGCCAUUCGCGAUAAGAUGAGCCUGCGUUGGAUUAGCUAGUUGGUGGGGUAAAAGCCUAACAAGGCGAGGAUCCAUAGCUGGUCUGAGAGGACGAUCAGCCACACUGGGACUGAGACACGGCCCAGACUCCUACGGGAGGCAGCAGUGGGGAAUAUUGGACAAUGGGGGCAACCCUGAUCCAGCAAUACCGCGUGUGUGAAGAAGGCCUGCGGGUUGUAAAGCACUUUCAGUGGGGAGGAAGAGCUCGGUGCUAAUAGUAUCGAGUUGAGACGUUACCCACAGAAGAAGCACCGGCUAACUCUGUGCCAGCCGCCGCAGUAA
rnacentral:rRNA from 1 species